CCCUCCCAUCACCUUUCUCUUCUUCGUCGCCUGCAGUCUCUCUUUCCCAGUCCCGAAUCUUCCCUCUCCUCCACGCCCUCUGCGAGGGUCGGCGCCUCGGCGGGCGAACGUCGAGCUCCUCCUCGUCUCAUCGGCUCGUCGCUCCUCGUCCCCAACCCCGACCUCGAGCUUCUCCUACUCCUCGUCACGCCGGCCGCCGCGCACCCUUUGACCUCGACAGAUCGACCUCGCCGCCGAGCCCCCGACACCAACGGCAGCUCUUCUCAUCCUCUCCCCCCUCAGAAACCACCCUCAGAUGGAACCGGCAAAGAACGGGAAGGGCAAGGAGAACACAGAAGAGCAUAAGAAUGAAACAGAAGAGAAGCUAGUUGUGGACAUUGCGGACAAUGAUUAUAUAGAUGCAGUUGAAGAAACAAACUCCAUUUCCACUGAUACCCUUGUGAGUGAGAGUGAUUCUGAGAGUGACGAUUCCGAGAGUGACGCACCUCAACGAGCGCCAAGCAACAGAACCCGAGGAGGAGGACGAGGAGGCAAUAGAACCCGAGGAGGAGGAGGAGGGCGAGGGGGCAACAGAACCCGGGGAGGAGGAGGACGAGGGGCUAACAGAAUCCGAGGAGGAAGAAGAGGGGGUACGGGACACACUAGUGGUUAGCAUCUUUAUCGGCAUUGCCAAAAUAUUAGUGCAAUUUGAAUGAUGUUGCAAUUGCCUUAGGUCUGGAACUCCAAACUUCUAACUUUAAUCCUUUGUUAGCCGUUCUUACCAUAGUUCAGGCUUCAACACCGUAGCGGCUUCUAUGUUGUGUGAUCUCGAUACCAUGUUUGGUUUUGAGCUCCAGUAAUUCAGAGCUUGCAUACAUUUAGUUCUUUGCCUUCUGUCUAUUUCUUGCUGUUUGAGUAUCUAGGACUUCUGGACGGGCUAAUCACGUGGUAUCAUGCUUCUA